AUACGUAUGGAGCAAGCGUUAUCCGGAUUUACUGGGUGUAAAGGGAGUGUAGGUGGCCAUGCAAGUCAGAAGUGAAAAUCCGGGGCUCAACCCCGGAACUGCUUUUGAAACUGUAAGGCUGGAGUGCAGGAGGGGUGAGUGGAAUUCCUAGUGUAGCGGUGAAAUGCGUAGAUAUUAGGAGGAACACCAGUGGCGAAGGCGGCUCACUGGACUGUAACUGACACUGAGGCUCGAAAGCGUGGGGAGC
rnacentral:rRNA from 1 species